rnacentral:lncRNA from 1 species
GCCAACGAAAGAAAGAAAGCAUAUAUAAAAAAACUCAACUGGAAGGUGAUCACAGUGCUAUCUUGGAGCCAACUUUUGCAGAGAUGUAGAGCAUUUUUUGGUUGAGUAGCUUCUACGAAAGAAGUGAUAUACUAUAAUAUACACAUGCAUUGAACUUUGGUAACACCCAAGCCAACCCUGUUACUGAUAUAUGGAGCUGGCUGAGGUGGGGAUAACGCUUGAAAAGCCUUCAUAUAUCUUGAAUUGAUGC